rnacentral:rRNA from 1 species
UACGAGGGGGGCGAGCGUUGUUCGGAAUUAUUGGGCGUAAAGCGCACGUAGGCGGCUUGGCAAGUCGGAUGUGAAAUCCCUCGGCUCAACCAAGGAAGUGCAUCCGAAACUGCUGAGCUUGAGUACUUAAGAGGAUCGCGGAAUUCCCGGUGUAGAGGUGAAAUUCGUAGAUAUCUGGAGGAAUACCGGUGGCGAAGGCGGCAUCCUGGACCGGCAUUGACGCUGAGGAGCGAAAGCCAGGGGAGCAAACGGG